rnacentral:rRNA from 1 species
GACGAACGCUGGCGGCGUGCUUAAUACAUGCAAGUCGAACGGAAAGGCCCUGCUUUUGUGGGGUGCUCGAGUGGCGAACGGGUGAGUAACACGUGAGUAACCUGCCCUUGACCUUGGGAUAACUUCAGGAAACUGGGGCUAAUACCGGAUAGGAGCUCCUGCUGCAUGGUGGGGGUUGGAAAGUUUCGGCGGUUGGGGAUGGACUCGCGGCUUAUCAGCUUGUUGGUGGGGUAGUGGCUUACCAAGGCUUUGACGGGUAGCCGGCCUGAGAGGGUGACCGGCCACAUUGGGACUGAGAUACGGCCCAGACUCCUACGGGAGGCAGCAGUGGGGAAUAUUGCACAAUGGGCGGAAGCCUGAUGCAGCAACGCCGCGUGCGGGAUGACGGCCUUCGGGUUGUAAACCGCUUUCGCCUGUGACGAAGCGUGAGUGACGGUAAUGGGUAAAGAAGCACCGGCUAACUACGUG